rnacentral:rRNA from 1 species
CCUACGGGGGGCAGCAGUGGGGAAUUUUCCGCAAUGGGCGAAAGCCUGACGGAGCAAUACCGCGUGAGGGACGACGGCUUUUGGGUUGUAAACCUCUUUUCCCUGGGAAGAAGAUCUGACGGUACCAGGGGAAUCAGCAUCGGCUAACUUCGUGCCAGCAGCCGCGGUAAUACGAGGGAUGCAAGCGUUAUCCGGAAUUAUUGGGCGUAAAGCGUCCGCAGGUGGCUCUGUAAGUCUGUCGUUAAAGAAUGGGGCUCAACCCCAUACAGGCGAUGGAAACUACAAGGCUAGAGUUUGGUAGGGGUCACGGGAAUUCUUAGUGUAGCGGUGAAAUGCGUAGAUAUUAAGAAGAACACCAGCGGCGAAAGCGCGUGACUGGGCCAGUACUGACACUCAUGGACGAAAGCUAGGGGAGCGAAAGGGAUUAGAUACCCGGGUAGUC